AACGAACGCUGGCGGCAGGCCUAACACAUGCAAGUCGAACGCUCCGCAAGGGGAGUGGCGCACGGGUGAGUAACACGUGGGAACCUACCUUCUGGUACGGAACAACCAAGGGAAACUUUGGCUAAGACCGUAUACGACCUCCGGGUGAAAGAUUGAUCGCCGGAAGAGGGGCCCGCGUCCGAUUAGGUAGUUGGUGAGGUAACGGCUCACCAAGCCUUCGAUCGGUAGCUGGUCUGAGAGGAUGACCAGCCACACUGGGACUGAGACACGGCCCAGACUCCUACGGGAGGCAGCAGGUGGGGAAUAUUGGACAAUGGGCGCAAGCCUGAUCCAGCCAUGCCGCGUGAGUGAUGAAGGCCUU
rnacentral:rRNA from 1 species